rnacentral:rRNA from 1 species
CCCUUAGAUGUCCUGGGCCGCACGCGCGCUACACUGACACGCCCAACAAGCAUAUAACCUUGACCGAAAGGUCUGGGCAAUCUUAAAAAACGUGUCGUGAUGAGGAUCGCCGAUUGGAAUCAUUCGGCGUCAAUGAGGAACGCCUAGUAGGCGCGUGUCAUCAACGCGCACCGAAUACGGCUAUGAAUUUUGUACACACCGCCCGUCGCUACUACCGAUUGAAUGGCUUAGUGAGUUGCCCGGAUUGCAGCCUUGUGGAGGGUUUCCUUUGCAUGGAUUGCGAAAAGGGUUUCAAACUUGGUCAUUUAGAGGAAGUAAAAGUCGUAACA